rnacentral:rRNA from 1 species
GACGAACGCUGGCGGUGUGCUUAACACAUGCAAGUCGAACGGAAAGGCCCUGCUUUUGUGGGGUGCUCGAGUGGCGAACGGGUGAGUAACACGUGAGUAACCUGCCCUUGACUUUGGGAUAACUUCAGGAAACUGGGGCUAAUACCGGAUAGGAGCUCCUGCUGCAUGGUGGGGGUUGGAAAGUUUCGGCGGUUGGGGAUGGACCCGCGGCUUAUCAGCUUGUUGGUGGGGUAGUGGCUUACCAAGGCUUUGACGGGUAGCCGGCCUGAGAGGGUGACCGGCCACAUUGGGACUGAGAUACGGCCCAGACUCCUACGGGAGGCAGCAGUGGGGAAUAUUGCACAAUGGGCGGAAGCCUGAUGCAGCAACGCCGCGUGCGGGAUGACGGCCUUCGGGUUGUAAACCGCUUUCGCCUGUGACGAAGCGUGAGUGACGGUAAUGGGUAAAGAAGCACCAGCUAACUACGUG